UAAGAUUUAUUUUCAUUUCAGUUUGAGUUUUUGUUCUUAUUUAUUUCCAGUUAUUCAUUUUACUGCUUCAAUUUAAAUUCAUUCCAAUGCAACAUAUCUAAUUUUCAUUUUGUAUGUAAC